UACGUAGGGUGCAAGCGUUGUCCGGAAUUAUUGGGCGUAAAGAGCUCGUAGGCGGUUAGUCGCGUCUGCUGUGAAAACUCGGGGCUUAACUCCGGGCCUGCAGUGGGUACGGGCUGACUAGAGUGCGGUAGGGGAGACUGGAAUUCCUGGUGUAGCGGUGAAAUGCGCAGAUAUCAGGAGGAACACCGAUGGCGAAGGCAGGUCUCUGGGCCAUUACUGACACUGAGAAGCGAAAGCAUGGGGAGCGAACAGG
rnacentral:rRNA from 1 species